rnacentral:sRNA from 1 species
AAUGAUUGUAAUUUAACCAACUGGGUAGUCCAAAACCAACCAACCAACCAACCAACCAACCAACCAACCAACCAACCAACCAAACGUGUCCAAACACUUUGAAACUGUAUGUUAAAAGCAAACAGAAUGGUGCAGAGAUGACUCAACAGUUGAGAGCACUGGUCAUUCUUUCAGAGAACCGAGGUUCGAUUCCCAGCACCCGCAUCAGGCGUCUCACAAUCAUCUGUAAUUCCAGUUCCAGGGCAUCCACUGAUGCCUUCUGACUCCUUCAGACACCAGGUACACAAGCAGCGUACAGAUAUACAUGCACACAAAAUAUCCAUACACAUAAAAUGGAAUAAAAUUACACCUUAAGCUAAAGGUUCUGAAACCUGUUAGCAGCAGUGCAGAGAAGCUACCAAACUAGGCCACUCCGUGAGGAGAACUCAUGUUUGAGUGUGCUAACAGUUUUAAGGAAACCUUUAUAGGAACAGAAACAAGAAAACCCUGGUUACCGCAAAGCUGGAAAGCCUCUCGUAUAAACCUGUUAUCUGAAGACAUUAUUAGCCUUGUUAGGGGUCUGUUUGUACAUUCCAGAGUGAAUUUCUAUCUGUUGGUCACAAGGCUCUCAGGUCAAGCAGAGAUGUGGGCAAUAAGUUGUUAUCUAGGGUGCUUGAAUGGCCCAGGAUAAUUUAUCUCCUGGACCCGUGACCUCCCAGGUCUGAGAACUUCAGUUCAUAAAUGAUUGCUCCUUGGAGAUGGAGUUGUGAUUUUGUUUUUGUUUUCUGUUUCACCAGUCUCUUCUUUUUUCUAUCCCACUUGCUCUCGUGUCUGCCUUCUCUCUCAUGCUGGGCUUGGGGCCAGGGUUGUGUGGAUAGAAUACAAGUGUCCUACUGCUGAACAACACCCUCUGGCAGAAAUGUUAAUUUUCUUUUUCCUAUUUCUCUCCCCUCUGCUACAGUUAAGAGACAUAACUUUAUAAUCAGAUCGCUGUUAGCACCAUACUCCCUCUCUACCCUCCUUUCUCUCUCUUCCAGGCUCCCCAUUGGCUACGUCCUCCUGUGUGUGAAUGUAGUUUAACACGCAGAGGUGUUCUUUGAGUGUGGACUGAACUACGAUCUUCCCACGUCACCAGUGCCUUUCCAGGGAUCUCACUGUACAUCCCGCAAUGGGCUCAAACGCGUCACUCUACCGUCCCGACCUCCCAAGUGGCUGUGAUUACAGGUUUAGACAACCAGGCAGCAAUGGACUGAGCUCAGAGUUGCAGGGUCUCAGCUGUCACAGUAGACACACACACAGUGCAUGUGGUUUCAAGCUGCCGUCAUCAACUUUCUAAGCAUUCAGGUAGGAAGAGAUGGGAGGAACCAUUCCUCAAACAAUGUUUUGUAGCAUGUUGGAAAGAGAGAGGUGAGAAGUACCAUUCUACACAUACAACACACUCAGGUCAUAGGAGAGCCAAUUGCAGACAAAUAAUAUCUGAUGGGUAUUGAGUAUGUAUUACCUUGGCUUUAAAUCUAUUUUUGCUUAUACACUUACAUAAUUCAACUAACAGUGGUAUGCUUUCUAACUGGAUCUGGAGAUUUCUGAAAAUGUAGCAGUUACUUCUUGGGACCCAAGUACAACAUGAGCACACACUCAGACUCUCUCCCACUGUAUUGGCACAAAACUGAGCAGGCUUUUACCCUUCUCUGGUCAUGGUCUGUUCACAGUACUCGCCCUGCCAGCCUCUGUAGGCAUAUGUAGUGCUGUGUGCUGUCUGCCUCCUCGUCUGUAACCUCUUGAAGGGCUUUGUCACAGUCAUUUGUGAGUUUUCAGUCUUCAACACAGGGCCUGCCACAUAGUAGAUUCUUCAUAUACUGAUGAACAGCUAAGUUUUACAGUAUAGGGAGUAACCAAAAUUCUCUAUAUGGCAGCAGAGAUGGCUUCACAUUACCACAAAUAAGUUGUUACAAAGCGAGUCUAUAAUGUAUUACUCACAUUUCUUCUCUUAACUAUUUCUUUCUGUUUUCACCUGGGAGAGAUUGUAUAGUCUACAUUAGUUGUCCAUCACUCCAUAACAAUUAUUGUAGCCUUUAGAAAUACUUUUAUUUUAUAUAUAUGA